UGAAAAAUAACUUAGUGGUAGAGUGCUUACCUAGCAUGUACGAGUCUCUGGGUUCAAUUCCCAGUACUAAAA
rnacentral:tRNA from 1 species